rnacentral:rRNA from 1 species
GAUGAACGCUGGCGGCGUGCCUAAUACAUGCAAGUCGAGCGAAUGGAUUAAGAGCUUGCUCUUAUGAAGUUAGCGGCGGACGGGUGAGUAACACGUGGGUAACCUGCCCAUAAGACUGGGAUAACUCCGGGAAACCGGGGCUAAUACCGGAUAACAUUUGAACCGCAUGGUUCGAAGUUGAAAGGCGGCUUCGGCUGUCACUUAUGGAUGGACCCGCGUCGCAUUAGCUAGUUGGGGCGGUAACGGCUCACCAAGGCAACGAUGCGUAGCCGACCGGGGAGGGUGAUCGGCCACACUGGGACUGAGACACGGCCCAGACUCCUACGGGAGGCAGCAGUAGGGAAUCUUCCGCAAUGGACGAAAGUCUGACGGAGCAACGCCGCGUGAGUGAUGAAGGCUUUCGGGUCGUAAAACUCUGUUGUUAGGGAAGAACAAGUGCUAGUUGAAUAAGCUGGCACCUUGACGGUACCUAACCAGAAAGCACCGGCUAACUACGUGCCAGCAGCCGCCGUAA